AGAGUUUGAUCCUGGCUCAGAUUGAACGCUGGCGGCAGGCCUAACACAUGCAAGUCGAACGGUAACAGGAAGCAGCUUGCUGCUUUGCUGACGAGUGGCGGACGGGUGAGUAAUGUCUGGGGAUCUGCCCGAUGGAGGGGGAUAACCACUGGAAACGGUGGCUAAUACCGCAUAACGUCGCAAGACCAAAGUGGGGGACCUUCGGGCCUCACACCAUCGGAUGAACCCAGAUGGGAUUAGCUAGUAGGUGGGGUAACGGCUCACCUAGGCGACGAUCCCUAGCUGGUCUGAGAGGAUGACCAGCCACACUGGAACUGAGACACGGUCCAGACUCCUACGGGAGGCAGCAGUGGGGAAUAUUGCACAAUGGGCGCAAGCCUGAUGCAGCCAUGCCGCGUGUAUGAAGAAGGCCUUCGGGUUGUAAAGUACUUUCAGCGGGGAGGAAGGGAUGGCGCUUAAUACGCGCCGUCAUUGACGUUACCCGCAGAAGAAGCACCGGCUAACUCCGUGCCAGCAGCCGCGGUAAUACGGAGGGUGCAAGCGUUAAUCGGAAUUACUGGGCGUAAAGCGCACGCAGGCGGUCUGUUAAGUCAGAUGUGAAAUCCCCGGGCUUAACCUGGGAACUGCAUUUGAAACUGGCAGGCUUGAGUCUCGUAGAGGGGGGUAGAAUUCCAGGUGUAGCGGUGAAAUGCGUAGAGAUCUGGAGGAAUACCGGUGGCGAAGGCGGCCCCCU
rnacentral:rRNA from 1 species